GUGCUCCCUUAAGUAGCAUAUAAAAUAAAAUUGGAAAAACACAGAAAAUAUUAGCAAGAUCCCUAUGCAAAUAUGACAUGCCAAUUCAUAUAUUUUU
ensembl:snRNA U6 U6 spliceosomal RNA